rnacentral:rRNA from 1 species
GACAGGAGGUGCCGAGCGUUAGGCGGAAUCACUGGGCUUAAAGCGUGUGUAGGCGGACCGUUAAGUACCUUGUGAAAUCCCCCCGGCUCAACCGGGGAACGGCUUGGGUAUACUGGCGGUCUUGAGCCAUCCAGGGGCAGUCGGAACAGACGGUGGAGCGGUGAAAUGCGUAGAUAUCGUCUGGAACGCCGAAGGUGAAAAC